rnacentral:rRNA from 1 species
UACGAAGGGGGCUAGCGUUGUUCGGAAUUACUGGGCGUAAAGCGCGCGCAGGCGGCUAUCCAAGUCAGUGGUGAAAGCCCGGAGCUCAACUCCGGAACUGCCAUUGAAACUGUUUAGCUUGAGGACGAGAGAGGUGAGUGGAAUUCCCAGUGUAGAGGUGAAAUUCGUAGAUAUUGGGAAGAACACCGGCGGCGAAGGCGGCUCACUGGCUCGUAUCUGACGCUCAGGCGCGACAGCGUGGGGAUCAAACAGG